CAAUGUAUCCGUUAGAAAAUUAUACCAAAGACUCAACGUUACAUACAUAAAAGCAGAAAAAAACAUAAGUAAAAGCAGACAAAAUCUCUCUCUAUCUCUCUGUUCUUGACGAAGCUUCGUUUGUUCGGCGGUUUGUGCAUUCGGGAACUCGUGAGAAUCUUGGAUUAUGAUGUUGAAUCAACAAGGGAAGAAGGGAAGCGCUUGACUCUGCGUGAAACCGUCGUUGAGUUCGUGAAGUACUACAGAAGGUAGUACAGGCGUGCGUCAUGAAGAUGGAGCUGAAUGGGAGUUUGGGUUUUGUGAUUGUGUGAACCUGCUGAGCUUGGAAAAGGAAAGAGGAUAUAUGUUUGAAGACAUAUGGACGUUUUCCAUAAAGCAAAAGAGAGUUACUUGAAGAUGAAGUUUUCCAUUAAAGAAAAUGAAAAGUUGUCUUACGUGUAUUUGGAAGACUUGGAGAGCAAGUUCUGGUAGCUAUAUAAGGAGGGGCGUGCCUUAUGAGACAGCUAGACCUCAUAGAAGAGAGAGAGGUUUCCUUGGUGUGUGGUAUUGCUUGGUGUCGAAGGACAUUCUGAAGCAUUGUCUGAUGGAGUCCGAUGUGGACUUAGUUUGGUGGCGUUUGAGUUGGCGCUUUGUGUGGUGGAGUUAGCCAUCCUGUGUAGCUCGUGUGAGCUUUGUGUGUGCUUGG